CAGCCGCCGCGGUAAUACGGAGGGCGCGAGCGUUGUCCGGAAUUAUUGGGCGUAAAGCGCGCGCAGGCGGUCCUUUAAGUCUGAUGUGAAAGCCCACGGCUCAACCGUGGAGGGUCAUUGGAAACUGGGGGACUUGAGUGCAGGAGAGGAGAGCGGAAUUCCACGUGUAGCGGUGAAAUGCGUAGAGAUGUGGAGGAACACCAGUGGCGAAGGCGGCUCUCUGGCCUGUAACUGACGCUGAGGCGCGAAAGCGUGGGGAGCAAACAGGAUUAGAUACCCUGGUAGUCCACGCCGUAAACGAUGAGUGCUAAGUGUUAGAGGGGUCACACCCUUUAGUGCUGCAGCUAACGCGAUAAGCACUCCGCCUGGGGAGUACGGCCGCAAGGCUGAAACUUAAAGGAAUUGGCGGG
rnacentral:rRNA from 1 species